AAGUAUAAGCAAUUUAUACAGCGAAACUGCGAAUGGCUCAUUAUAUAAGUUAUCGUUUAUUUGAUAGUACCUUACUACUUGGAUAACCGUGGUAAUUCUAGAGCUAAUACAUGCUAAAAAUCCCGACUUCGGAAGGGAUGUAUUUAUUAGAUUAAAAACCAAUGCCCCUCGGGGCUCUCUGGUGAUUCAUAAUAACUUCUCGAAUCGCACGGCCUUGCGCCGGCGAUGGUUCAUUCAAAUUUCUUCCCUAUCAACUUUCGAUGUUUGGGUAGUGGCCAAACAUGGUUGCAACGGGUAACGGAGGGUUAGGGCUCGACCCCGGAGAAGGAGCCUGAGAAACGGCUACUACAUCCAAGGAAGGCAGCAGGCGCGCAAAUUACCCAAUCCCGAUUCGGGGAGGUAGUGACAAUAAAUACUGAUACAGGGCUCUUUCGGGUCUUGUAAUUGGAAUGAGUACAAUUUAAAUCCCUUAACGAGGAACAAUUGGAGGGCAAGUCUGGUGCCAGCAGCCGCGGUAAUUCCAGCUCCAAUAGCGUAUAUUAAAGUUGUUGUGGUUAAAAAGCUCGUAGUUGAACCUUGGGCCUGGCUGGCCGGUCCGCCUCACCGCGUGUCACUGGUCCGGCCGGGUCUUUCCCUCUGUGGAACCACAUGCCCUUCACUGGGCGUGGCGGGGAAACAGGACUUUUACUUUGAAAAAAUUAGAGUGCUCCAGGCAGGCCUAUGCUCGAAUACAUUAGCAUGGAAUAAUGAAAUAGGACGUGCGGUUCUAUUUUGUUGGUUUCUAGGACCGCCGUAAUGAUUAAUAGGGACAGUCGGGGGCAUCAGUAUUCAAUUGUCAGAGGUGAAAUUCUUGGAUUUAUUGAAGACUAACUACUGCGAAAGCAUUUGCCAAGGAUGUUUUCAUUAAUCAGGAACGAAAGUUAGGGGAUCGAAGACGAUCAGAUACCGUCGUAGUCUUAACCAUAAACUAUGCCGACUAGGGAUCGGACGAUGUUAUUUAGUUGACUCGUUCGGCACCUUACGAGAAAUCAAAGUGCUUGGGCUCC
rnacentral:rRNA from 1 species